rnacentral:antisense_RNA from 1 species
UGUGGGAGCUGGCUUGCCAGCGAUGACGUCGGAACAUUCAACAUCAAUGCUGACUGAACCACCGCUAUCGCUGGCAAGCCAGCUCCCACA